rnacentral:rRNA from 1 species
AGAGUUUGAUCCUGGCUCAGAUUGAACGCUGGCGGCAGGCCUAACACAUGCAAGUCGAGCGGUAGAGAGAAGCUUGCUUCUCUUGAGAGCGGCGGACGGGUGAGUAAUGCCUAGGAAUCUGCCUGGUAGUGGGGGAUAACGUCCGGAAACGGACGCUAAUACCGCAUACGUCCUACGGGAGAAAGCAGGGGACCUUCGGGCCUUGCGCUAUCAGAUGAGCCUACGUCGGAUUAGCUAGUUGGUGAGGUAAUGGCUCACCAUAGGCGACGA